AAGAAGCUACCGAGAGAGGAAAAGGCAGAAGAAGAAGAAAAAAAAUGGCUCUUGUUACUCAAGAAGUCAUCAAUCAACUUGAAGCAUUAAUGGAGGAAGAUGCAGUGGGCGAGUCACUU